rnacentral:rRNA from 1 species
AUACGUAGGGGGCGAGCGUUGUCCGGAAUGAUUGGGCGUAAAGGGCGCGUAGGCGGCCCGGUAAGUCUGGAGUGAAAGUCCUGUUUUUAAGAUGGGAAUUGCUUUGGAUACUGUCGGGCUUUAGUGCAGGAGAGGUAAGUGGAAUUCCCAGUGUAGCGGUGAAAUGCGUAGAGAUUGGGAGGAACACCAGUGGCGAAGGCGACUUACUGGACUGUAACUGACGCUGAGGCGCGAAAGUGUGGGGAGCAAACAGGAUUAGAUACCCUGGUAGUCCACACGGUAAACGAUGAAUGCUAGGUGUAGGGGGUAUUGACCCCUUCUGUGCCGCAGUCAACACAAUAAGCAUUCCGCCUGGGGAGUACGGCCGCAAGGUUGAAACUCAAAUGAAUUGACGGGG